rnacentral:rRNA from 1 species
AUUGAACGCUGGCGGCAGGCCUAACACAUGCAAGUCGAACGAGUGGCGGACGGGUGAGUAAUGUCUGGGAAACUGCCUGAUGGAGGGGGAUAACUACUGGAAACGGUAGCUAAUACCGCAUACCAUCGGAUGUGCCCCGCUGGGAUUGGCGAGUAGGUGGGGUCACGGCUCACCUAGGCGACGAGCCCUAGCUGGUCUGCGAGGAUGACCAGCCACACGGGAACUGAGACACGGUCCAGACUCCGACGGGAGGCAGCAGGGGGGAAGAUUGGACGAUGGUAGCAAGCCGGAUGCAGCCAUGCCGCGUGUAUGAAGAAGGCCUUGGGGUUGUAAAGUACUUUCAGCGGGGAGGCGUUACCCGCAGAAGAAGCACCGGCUAACACCGUGCCAGCCGCCGCGGUAAUAC